UUCACUUCUGCUUUACACUGUUAAGAAGUUUACCAUAAUGAGCAACUCAGAACAGUUUACUUUCUGAAAAACAAGUGACUCCUAGUAAUGCUCAAGUGUGGUUUGUAACAUUCCAAAGAACAACAAAUACUGAAAUACACUAUUUUUUCCCUAACUUCAAAAUAAUAGAAUAUGAAUCUGACAUUGAGAAAUACUGAUUUGAAAUAUGUAUGAAACAGAUUUCUGAUGAAGAGGGAAUUUGAGAAGUACUUCUUUAAGAAUUCUGGUGAGAUACACAAACCACCUUCUGUAAGCUCUCUGAACAUAACUAGCAUGCUGCUCAGUUUAUUCAAAAAGGACUGUAAAUUCUGGAAGUUUUAACUUGAUAUGUUUGCAGGUAACAUGAUUGAUGUGUAACUCUAGAAUGAAAGGAGUAUUUAGAGUCUUGGCUAUCAGUUCACCAGUUCUUAUUCCUUAAACAAAGACAGGUCAGAUAUUAGUCUUGUCCUCUGUGUCACAGUUUCUGACUUCAUCCUAUGAAUACAGACACAUACAAACUCAGAAAAUAUUCUAACACUUGAAUGCCUAUCGAUCACUAAAUCAGAAAAAACAUAAUAGUGGAGGGGGGCUAGCUUAUCUAUCAUAAGAUUUUUAUUUUUUUUUUUCAUAACUUCUCAGAGGUAUAUCAUAUUAUAAAUGCAUUAGAAAUGUUUUGCUCUGAGGAUAUGUAGCAUUCCUAUAAAGGUUAAAUCAAUAAAAAUGAUUUGGCCACAUUCCUAAGCAUGGCUAGAACAGGUAGCCCGUUGUUUAAGGUACCCUUGAAUUUCUGGAUCAGAUUAUUAUGGUGCAGCAAAAAGGCUUACUAAAGGCUUCUUACUGUCUGCAGACGUUCUGUGUUUCUAUGUGAAGAUAUCGUCAGCCUAAAAAAACCUUCAGAUUUUCUGGGCUACUGAAAAAAAAGUAUUUUUAUGUAUAUAGGUCUCAAAUGUUGUGCUGUGUGUGCUGUAAGUUUUAAAGGAAGUUUUGCAACAAGAAGGGGUGAAGACACAUCAGUAAUUGAUAACAACCAGAAGAAAUAUAUUGCACUGUGUCAAAACCAGCAGCUGACCUACAAAUAAGACUACUUUGGCUAAAAUGCAUGCUUUCACUUUGAAAGUUGAGGUGAGUUAAGAUUGGUCAGUCUAAUGUCCAGAAAGGCAGUUUCUCUCUUCGUGGGACUAUGGGAAGAACAAGAAGAUACGAAGAGACUUAGUCCCAAACAUCUAUUUCCUCAAUUAUUGCCAAGUAUUCUAAAAUAAGUACUUCCACCAUCUGUUAUUUGAAUACUAGCACUAACGCUUACAAUUUAUGUAGAACACUAUAAUAGUGUUAAUAGACAUUCUUUUUUACAAAUAUUAAGACAAGACCCUUGCUGCAAGUUCCUACAUUGCAUAUUAGCAAAGUAGAGAUAUGUGAAGAGUUGUAAAUGUUCUUUGGGUAUUUGUAUUGCUGGCAAAUCUGAAUGUGAUAGCACAUUCUCUUUUACAACUUCAGUAUUAGGGUAGAAAAUGUUGUACCAAUAGAGAUGUUAUCUGAAUUUACACUAUUACUGGUUUUUGCUUGUUUUUUUUUUUGUUUAUUUCUUUUUACCUGAGGAAUUUCAAAAUUUUGGAAGUAUGGAUUAGUAGGAAUUAGAGGUUUGAACUGUACACACGUGCAUGUUUGCACAUACACAGCUCAUUAACAUUUCUUAAAGAAUACCCUGUUCUAUUACCACACAUGGAUAUGUUAAAAUAUCAUGCUUUUUUAACUCUGUCUUUUCUGAUUUGUAUUUAAAUGAAUUACAGAUGUUUUGGGGGAUUAACACUAUCUGGAAGUGAAUGUACUUAGGCAUAAUUAUUUGUCUAUAUUGUUGUUCCUUAAAAACCCCCAAACCAAACAACCCUCUCUUUUGCUUAUGUGUAUAGGGUCAUAUAUAUUAAAUGUGUUUGAAGUAAUUCAAUUCUGUAAUUAAUAAGGACUUGUAACGUCACCCCGCUCCGAUUUGCUAUAUCAGACCUGCUUUCAGAAGAACUGCACCCAGCAUGUGGUCA
rnacentral:lncRNA from 1 species